rnacentral:rRNA from 1 species
UACAGAGGGGGCAAGCGUUAUUCGGAAUUAUUGGGCGUAAAGGGCGCGUAGGCGGCUUGGCAAGUGGAUGGUGAAAUCCCUCGGCUUAACCGAGGAACUGCCGUCCAAACUGCUUCGCUUGAGACCGGGAGAGGUGAGUGGAAUUCCCAGUGUAGCGGUGAAAUGCGUAGAUAUUGGGAGGAGGGGCGGGGGGGAGGGCGGCUCACUGGACGGGUACUGAGGCGAAUGCGCGAAAGCGUGGGGAGCAAACGGG